ensembl:lncRNA
GAAACACAGACUGCAAUGCCACAUGUUUGCUGUUCCCAAAAGAAUAUUUCUGACUGCAUUGAACAGACCCAAGUAUCGUUUCUUAACAGAAGACCCAAGUGUCUAGAGCAGUCUGUUGGUGAGUGAUGCCCUCCCAGUUGUGUCCUUGCUCCCCUCUGGAUUCCUUCUCCUGGGACCUGCUCUCUCUUCCUUCGGGUUCUCCCCCGAAGGUGGGUCAUUCCUUGUUGCUAUAGCAACCCUAUGUCCCUAGCCCAUUCAGCCAAGCAAGUCUUAGCCUUUUCUCCAUUCUCCAACCCCUCCAAUUCUAGACCCUAUUCUAUAUUUUCUUUAAAAAUGACUACCAGGCUAUACAAGGCCCUACAUUUAAUUCUGCAGCAUGAAAAAUAAUAAGAAAAAAAGAAAGAUACCAGUCACUCAUUUUUCUUUUCUGCUCCAUGAUGACAACUUUGUGGAGGGAGAGAAGACCACACAGGCUAGAAACCCCCGCAGUGUCCGGAAUGGUGGCUGCUGGGCCCCCUCCUCCUCUGUCACCCCCUCAGGAGGACACCUGCAGUGCUUUCCACAGUGCUGGAAACUCAGGCCCCUGUGGACCUCAGAGUCAUCUUUGAGGCUUGGUGAACUUCAGAGGUGGAAGCAGAGUAUCACCGUGGCUAAAAGGACACAAGCCAAGUUCACACAUGCAACCCAGGCUGUGGCUCUGUACAUUUGCAUCAGGAUGUAGGUGAGUGG